UACGUAGGUGGCAAGCGUUAUCCGGAAUUAUUGGGCGUAAAGCGCGCGCAGGUGGUUCCUUAAGUCCGAUGUGAAAGCCCCCGGCUCAACCGGGGAGGGUCAUUGGAAACUGGGGGAACUUGAGUGUAGAAGAGGAAAGUGGAAUUCCACGUGUAGCGGUGAAAUGCGUAGAGAUGUGGAGGAACACCAGUGGCGAAGGCGACUUUCUGGUCUAUAACUGACACUGAGGCGCGAAAGCGUGGGGAGCAAACAGG
rnacentral:rRNA from 1 species